GACGAACGCUGGCGGCGUGCUUAACACAUGCAAGUCGAACGGAAAGGCCCCCACUUUUUUGGUGGGGGUGCUCGAGUGGCGAACGGGUGAGUAACACGUGGGUGAUCUGCCCUGUACUUCGGGAUAAGCUUGGGAAACUGGGUCUAAUACCGGAUAGGACCAUGGUUUAGUGUCUCAUGGUGGAAAAAUUAUUGUUUUGGUGCAGGAUGAGCUCGCGGCCUAUCAGCUUGUUGGUGGGGUAAUGGCCUACCAAGGCGUCGACGGGUAGCCGGCCUGAGAGGGUGGACGGCCACAUUGGGAGUGAGAUACGGCCCAGACUCCUACGGGAGGCAGCAGUGGGGAAUAUUGCACAAUGGGCGCAAGCCUGAUGCAGCGACGCCGCGUGGGGGAUGACGGCCUUCGGGUUGUAAACUCCUUUCGUUAGGGACGAAGCCGCACCUUUUUUGGGUGUGGUGACGGUACCUUUGUUAAGAAGCACCGGCUAACUACGUG
rnacentral:rRNA from 1 species